rnacentral:rRNA from 1 species
UACGUAGGGACCAAGCGUUGUCCGGAAUCAUUGGGCGUAAAGCGCGCGUAGGUGGCCAUUUAAGUCCGCUGUGAAAGUCAGAGGCUCAACCUUUGAAAGCCGGUGGAUACUGGAUGGCUAGAGUACGGAAGAGGCGAGUGGAAUUCCUGGUGUAGCGGUGGAAUGCGCAGAUAUCAGGAGGAACACCAAUAGCGAAGGCAGCUCGCUGGGACGUUACUGACACUAAGGCGCGAAAGCGUGGGGAGCGAACAGG